rnacentral:ribozyme from 1 species
UAAUAUUUGUCUUUGAAUUAUUUUUUUACAAUUUUUGUUUCAUUUUUAUCUGACCUAAUGACCUCACAUUUUUAAUGAAGUGGGCUAUGCUUCCACAGACAAAAGGAGCCAAGUUUUUGUAUGACACUUUUCUUAAAGACAUUUUGAAAAAAAAUGAAAAGAAAUU